rnacentral:rRNA from 1 species
CGUAGGCGGUUUGUUAAGUCGGUUGUUAAAGCCCCCCAGCUCAACUGGGGAUUGGCAAACGAUACUGGCAGGCUAGAGGAUAAGAGAGAGAGGUGGAAUUCUCGGAGUAGCGGUAAAAUGCGUAGAUCUCGAGAGGAACAUCGGUUGCGAAGGCGGCUUCUUGGCUUAUUCCUGACGCUGAGGCGCGAAAGCGUGGGGAGCAAACA